rnacentral:sRNA from 1 species
ACCGGCCCGCGCCCCGCCAUGGAGGACCUGGGUGAGUGGGGCCGGAUCCCCGGGUCCGUGGCCCCUCACCGCUGCCCAGAGCUGCCUCCCCGCCGUCGCUCUCCCGCAUCUCCCCAUCCCUGUCUUCUUACUUCUGCUUUUCGCCUCUGCCCGCGCCUCCUUUCCAACUCCACGUCCCCCUUCCUGCCUCUCCCUUCCUGCCUUUCCUGGGCCGGCCGCUCCCUCCCUUCUUCCCUCGCUCUGCUCCUCCAUCCCAGGCUGCGGCAGAUGGAACGGGAGGUGCGGCGCCCGCGGGCGCCCGGGCGCGGGGCUCUGGGGAGGGAGGGGUUAAAGAGGCCUCGGCCCGGGGACCGGGAAAGUAGAGGGCACGGGAAAGUCUGGCAUCAAGUUUUGGAGAAAAAAAGCGGGUCUGCCUGCACCAGAGUUUUGGGAGAGGAGGAGUUAAGGGCUCCUGAGCACGAUGAGGGUCAGGUCCUUGAGGCAAGGAAGAGAAUAGUAGCUCAGGAGUGCCUAGGCGCCCGCGAAGCCUUCAGGGUUUCACGCGGGUGCUCAGAGACGAAGACUGAGGGCAGGACUUCUGGGUUCUGGAAGUGAAAGGGCUCAAAAGACCCGGAUCUGGGGAUGCAGGGAUGGAGAGAGGUGUCUUGUCCGGAAGGGGGACCCAGGUAUCUCGUCGUCCCUGCGAAGCCUGGGGCUGGAAGGCUGUGCGCUCCACGGGAGACAGGGGCUUCCGGCCCCUGGCGGUAGAGGGCGCUGCUCGGUAGGGGUAACUGACGCUGUACCGCAGAGAAGCAGCCAAUCAGAAGGCAGGUCCCAGCGAAGCACCAGUGAGGAGCGCAGGGCGGGACUCAGGGGCCUGGGAGUGGCCAGGCUAGGCGGGGCCUGUGUAGGUAGAGGGAGGAGUUAACGAGCAUGGAAGAGAGAGCGUCCAAUCAGAAAGCUUGGGGCCAGGCACUGGGCCAAUGGAGCAAUUUGGAGGGGAGCCAAAUUUGGCUUGGGUGAAGAGCCCAUUUUGACUGCAUCAGAGAAGAUGGGGAGAAUAAAAUAAUCAGGAGGCUGGGUUUGUGCUUGGCUCCAGGCAUGAGCAACUGGGAUAUUCUGGUCAUAAAUAUUCCUUGCUACCCUUGGAGCAGUGCUCUGCCUGGCUCUGGCCCUGUGACCUCUUCUCUUAAUACUGGCUUCUGUCCUUCUCCAGUACUGUCCACUGGGAACCUUAUCUUCUGAUCUAACCGUGACCCCUGUCUCUCUCCCUGAUGGCCUCUUCCUGCAGAUGCCCUGCUCUCUGACCUGGAGACUACCACCUCGCACAUGCCAAGGCCAGGGGCUCCCAAAGAGCGCCCUGCGGAGCCUCUCACCCCUCCCCCAUCCUAUGGCCACCAGCCACAGACAGGGUCUGGGGAGUCUUCAGGAGCCUCGGGGGACAAGGACCACCUGUACAGGUGAGGGGCCUGGCAACCAGGGCAUAGGGGGCCAACUGAGUCUCAGGUGAGGAGGCUUGGAUUCCCCACCCCUGAACCCAGGCUCCCACUCUGCUUCCCAGCACGGUAUGCAAGCCUCGGUCCCCAAAGCCUGCAGCCCCGGCGGCCCCUCCAUUCUCCUCUUCCAGCGGUGUCUUGGGUACUGGGCUCUGUGAGCUAGAUCGGUUGCUUCAGGAACUUAAUGCCACCCAGUUCAACAUCACAGAUGAAAUCAUGUCUCAGUUCCCAUCUAGCAAGGUGGCUUCAGGAGAGCAGAAGGAGGACCAGUCUGAAGACAAGAAAAGACCCAGCCUCCCUUCCAGCCCAUCUCCUGGCCUCCCAAAGCCUUCUGCCACCUCAGCCACUCUGGAGCUGGAUAGACUGAUGGCCUCGCUCUCUGACUUCCGUGUUCAAAACCAUCUUCCAGGCUCUGGGCCAACCCAGCCACCGGUGGCAAGCUCCACAAACGAGGGCUCCCCAUCCCCACCAGAGCCGACUGGCAAGGGCAGCCUAGACACCAUGCUGGGGCUGCUGCAGUCCGACCUCAGCCGCCGGGGUGUUCCCACCCAGGCCAAGGGCCUCUGUGGCUCCUGCAAUAAAACUAUUGCUGGGCAAGUAAGUGGAGCCUUGUGAGAAGGGAGGCAGAGACCUGUUACAGACCCAUCUCUAGUGAGAGCCGGGCUUUAUGCUGUUCGCUUUUAGUAAGUUAAUCUGGGAAGUGGGUAUCAUUAUUACUUAUGUUUUAUGGAUGAGGAAACUGAAGCUCUGAACCACACAGCAGGUUAGUGGUAGGGUGAAAAUUCCAACCAUGUCACCAUUUAUUGUGGUCCUACUGUGUGCCAGGCACUGUGCCAGCUCCUUUACAAACCCUCAUCUCAUCCGAUCUUCACAAAACACUCUGUGGCUCCACCCACCAUCUCUCAGGCAUCUACAAAGUCUGUCUCUUCCUCCGUCAGAGUCUGGACUGGGUUCACUGGUCCUUGUCUUAUUGACUGAGCAGAUGUGAUUGACAACAGCUGUGCCUAGGGGUUAACCUAGUGCCCCCAGCUAGAUCAAGUACCUGACUCCCAGCCCAGAAUUGCCCAUCUCAGCAAAGGAGGGUGGCAUUGUGACUUUUGUGGAUCAUAGGCACUUUCAUCUUCAUGAGUCCCUUCGUCCAUUAAAAUAAAUAGAUUUUUAUGCCUGUGUUGGUGUAAAGAUGGGUAUGUUAUUAUUGUAUAUUAGAGCAUUUUCUUCUAGUUCAUUUUUUUAUUCUGAAUUUUUAAAAACGGAUUUUUCACUUCCUCCCUCUUAUUUAUUUUGAGGUGAAGUCUCACUCUUGUGACCCAAGCUGGAGUGCAGUGGUGCGAUUGUGGCUCACUGCAGCCUCGACCUCCUGGGCUCAAGCGAUCCUCCCAGCUCAGCCUCCCGAGUAGCUGGGACUAUAGGCGCCCGCCACCUCGCCCGGCUAAUUUUAUUUAUUUAUUGUAGAGACGGGGUUUCGCCAUGUUGCCCAGGCUGGUCUCAAACUCCUGGGCUCAAGUAAUCCUCCCACCUCAGCCUCCCAAAUGCUAGGAUUAGAGGCACGAGCCACCCAGCCUGAUCUUAUUCUGAUUUUAAAAAAAUUAAAUCGUUUUUAUGGGCCCCUAAAUGUAUUGUGGGCUCCAGGCGCUGUGCCUGCUGUGCCUCAUGUAUAGGUCAAUCCUGGAGCGCAGCUGGAAGACGGGGGCUAGAUCUCCAUCGCUUACAGGCUGCGUGAUCUCGAACACUGGAUUCUUUAUUCUGAUCGCUCAGAGAGGACUCGAAAAGCGCCGCGUAAAUCUUGCCUCACUGGGCAUGUGGCUGUCAGAGCCGCUCUGACCCGCCUCACCUCCCACUCGCAGGUGGUGACGGCUCUGGGACGCGCCUGGCACCCCGAGCACUUCGUUUGCGGAGGCUGUUCCACCGCCCUGGGAGGCAGCAGCUUCUUCGAGAAGGAUGGAGCUCCCUUCUGCCCCGAGUGCUACUUUGAGCGCUUCUCGCCAAGAUGUGGCUUCUGCAACCAGCCCAUCCGACACGUGAGCCCCGCCCGGCCGCACCGAGCCCGCCCUAUCUCACCCGGAGAGCUGUGGGACGGGCCUCCACCGCAUGGGUCCCGCCCCACCCGCUAUAUCCCACCCCACCCCUUCCCCUUGGCAAUGUCCACGGCCCCUUGGACUCCACUCUUCCUUUCUGACUCCCACGUUCCUAGUUAGAUCUUCUCCCCCUCCCCUCACGCAUGCCUUAGUCCAGUCACCCGGGUUCUGCGCGGGAGAGGAAGGCGCAAAGGCACGGAGGCCGCGCUGAGUGCCCUCUCCCUCCCUGCAGAAGAUGGUGACCGCCUUGGGCACUCACUGGCACCCAGAGCAUUUCUGCUGCGUCAGUUGCGGGGAGCCCUUCGGAGAUGAGGGUGAGAGUGAACUCGACUCCCAUCUUAAAAGCUGCGGGUCCCCUCGACGUCUCGCCCCAGCCCCUCCGACCUCCGGAGUCCUCAAGGCCAUGGUUUUCCUUCUGCUCUCUUCUGGCCCUGCCCUCUCCCACACAGACCCGAGCCCUCCUGCUCUGUCCCGCCCCAGACCCGGCUCCUCCUUCCCCAAGGCUCCCUCGAACUGCCCCUUCUUCGGCCCCAGAUCUCAGGUCUUGUGGGUCCCCCGUCCCACCCGCACACUUUGCUUUCAGCCCACUCGGUUCCCUCUCCUAGGUUUCCACGAGCGCGAGGGCCGCCCCUACUGCCGCCGGGACUUCCUGCAGCUGUUCGCCCCGCGCUGCCAGGGCUGCCAGGGCCCCAUCCUGGAUAACUACAUCUCGGCGCUCAGCGCGCUCUGGCACCCGGACUGUUUCGUCUGCAGGGAAUGCUUCGCCCCCUUCUCGGGAGGCAGCUUUUUCGAGCACGAGGGCCGCCCGUUGUGCGAGAACCACUUCCAUGCACGGCGCGGCUCGCUGUGCGCCACGUGUGGCCUCCCCGUGACCGGCCGCUGCGUGUCGGCCCUGGGUCGCCGCUUCCACCCGGACCACUUCACAUGCACCUUCUGCCUGCGCCCGCUCACCAAGGGCUCCUUCCAGGAGCGCGCCGGCAAGCCCUACUGCCAGCCCUGCUUCCUGAAGCUCUUCGGCUGACAGCCCGCUCGGCUCGCCCUCUCCCCCGGAGACCGCGCCCUCCCGGAAAAGCCGGGUCCUCCAGACCCCGAGGCCUUGCUCUCAGAGCGUGAGGCCCCACCCACUGGAGAGCCCCGCCCCUAAGGUACUAUGAGUCCUCAAGGGUCAAGUUCGGAAAAGGCCCAGCCAGACCUAAACCCACACGCCCACAAAGUGGAUCGCACACACACGAGAGCUCCCGUGCGGGCCUCCACUCUAUUCCCACCCUUGAGGGAGCCCCCUGACUGGGGGAGGGUCCUUGCAAUUCCAGCGAAUCGGAGGCCAGGCCAGGACGUCCUUGCUCCCUGCACCCUCACUGUUCUGUGCACUUUUUCUACCUACAUAAACACACGCAUUCCACCUC